GAUGAACGCUAGCUACAGGCUUAACACAUGCAAGUCGAGGGGCAGCACAGUGUAGCAAUACACGGGUGGCGACCGGCGCACGGGUGCGUAACACGUAUCCAAUCUGCCCGUUACUCGGGGAUAGCCUUCUGAAAGGAAGAUUAAUACCCGAUGGCAUGUAUUUCCGGCAUCGGAGAUACAUUAAAGAUUUAUCGGUAACGGAUGAGGAUGCGUACGAUUAGCUAGUUGGCGGGGUAACGGCCCACCAAGGCGACGAUCGUUAGGGGUUCGGAGAGGAAGGUCCCCCACACUGGAACUGAGACACGGUCCAGACUCCUACGGGAGGCAGCAGUGAGGAAUAUUGGUCAAUGGUCGAGAGACUGAACCAGCCAAGUAGCGUGAAGGAUGACUGCCCUAUGGGUUGUAAACUUCUUUUGUUUGGGAAUAAAGUCAGGUACGUGUACCUGUUUGUAUGUACCAUUCGAAUAAGCAUCGGCUAAUUCCGUGCCAGCCGCCGCGGUAAAAC
rnacentral:rRNA from 1 species